CGCCUUUUGAAUUAUAUAAAAGGUAACGCCUGCCCAGUGACAUCAUGUUCAACGGCCGCGGUAUUCUGACCGUGCGAAGGUAGCGUAAUCACUUGUCUUUUAAAUAAAGACUAGUAUGAAUGGCAUCACGAGGAUUUAGCUGUCUCCUUAAGCUCAUCAGUGAAACUGAUCUCCCCGUGCAAAAACGGGGAUAAAUUCAUAAGACGAGAAGACCCUAUGGAGCUUAAAACUAAUAGCCGCCUAUGCUAUCUGCUAGUAUAAAUAGCACUAUAACAAUAAAUCCGGCCUACGUUUUUAGUUGGGGUGACUAUGGAGAAAAACUCAUCCUCCAUGAAGAAACAAGCCCUGAGUUACCACUCUAUGCAUUAGCAAGCCUGACUUUACUUGAUCCAAUCUCUUUGAUCAACGGACCAAGUUACCCUAGGGAUAACAGCGCAAUCCAUUUCAAGAGUCCUUAUCGACAAAUGGGUUUACGACCUCGAUGUUGGAUUAGGACACCCUAGUGGUGCAGCCGCUACUAACGGUUCGUUUGUUCAACGAUUAAAGUCCUA
rnacentral:rRNA from 1 species